rnacentral:rRNA from 1 species
CAAGUCGAACGGCAGCACGGGUGCUUGCACCUGGUGGCGAGUGGCGAACGGGUGAGUAAUACAUCGGAACAUGUCAUGUAGUGGGGGAUAGCCCGGCGAAAGCCGGAUUAAUACCGCAUACGAUCUACGGAUGAAAGCGGGGGACCUUCGGGCCUCGCGCUAUAGGGUUGGCCGAUGGCUGAUUAGCUAGUUGGUGGGGUAAAGGCCUACCAAGGCGACGAUCAGUAGCUGGUCUGAGAGGACGACCAGCCACACUGGGACUGAGACACGGCCCAGACUCCUACGGGAGGCAGCAGUGGGGAAUUUUGGACAAUGGGCGAAAGCCUGAUCCAGCAAUGCCGCGUGUGUGAAGAAGGCCUUCGGGUUGUAAAGCACUUUUGUCCGGAAAGAAAUCCUUGGUUCUAAUAUAGCCGGGGGAUGACGGUACCGGAAGAAUAAGCACCGGCUAACUACGUGCCAGCAGCCGCGGUAAUACGUAGGGUGCGAGCGUUAAUCGGAAUUACUGGGCGUAAAGCGUGCGCAGGCGGUUUGCUAAGACCGAUGUGAAAUCCCCGGGCUCAACCUGGGAACUGCAUUGGUGACUGGCAGGCUAGAGUAUGGCAGAGGGGGGUAGAAUUCCACGUGUAGCAGUGAAAUGCGUAGAGAUGUGGAGGAAUACCGAUGGCGAAG